AAUGAACGCUGGCGGCGUGCCUAACACAUGCAAGUCGCACGAGAACGUUUCAGCUUGCUGAGACUAGUAAAGUGGCGCACGGGUGAGUAACGCGUGGGUAAUCUACCUCCGAAUUGGGGAUAACAUUGCGAAAGCGGUGCUAAUACCGAAUAAUAUCAUCAAGACUCCGGUCUUGGAGAUCAAAGGUGGCCUCUACAUGUAAGCUACCGUUUGGAGAUGAGCCCGCGUACCAUUAGCUUGUUGGUAGGGUAAUGGCCUACCAAGGCUUCGAUGGUUAGCUGGUCUGAGAGGAUGAUCAGCCACACUGGAACUGACACACGGUCCAGACUCCUACGGGAGGCAG
rnacentral:rRNA from 1 species